rnacentral:rRNA from 1 species
UACGGGGGGGGCUAGCGUUGUUCGGAAUUACUGGGCGUAAAGCGCACGUAGGCGGACUGGAAAGUCAGGGGUGAAAUCCCGGGGCUCAACCCCGGAACUGCCUUUGAAACUCCCAGUCUUGAGGUCGAGAGAGGUGAGUGGAAGUCCGAGUGUAGAGGUGAAAUUCGUAGAUAUUCGGAGGAACACCAGUGGCGAAGGCGGCUCACUGGCUCGAUACUGACGCCGAGGUGCGAAAGCGUGGGGAGCAAACAGG